UACGUAGGGUGCAAGCGUUAAUCGGAAUUACUGGGCGUAAAGCGUGCGCAGGCGGUUGUGCAAGCCCGGUGUGAAAUCCCCGGGCUUAACCUGGGAAUGGCAUUGGUGACUGCACGGCUAGAGUGUGUCAGAGGGGGGUAGAAUUCCACGUGUAGCAGUGAAAUGCGUAGAGAUGUGGAGGAAUACCGAUGGCGAAGGCAGCCCCCUGGGAUAACACUGACGCUCAUGCACGAAAGCGUGGGGAGCAAACAGG
rnacentral:rRNA from 1 species